GUGAGCAUCUUUGUACCCCUAAUUCUACUUCGGACACUUGUCCAUUUUUACCUCUCGUCUCACUCUUUUUCUUUUAUCGAGGUUCCGGGCACUUGCCCCUUUUUAUUUCCUCGCAUAUUUUUGCAUAACCCAUGCCUCUUCUGCAUUGAAUCUUCUUAGAGAGAGAGAAUAACAAUAUUUGGGACAAUGAGUGAUAAUAUUUUUAACAAUUUUAAUGAAUAGUGAUGGAUGGUGUAGUAGAUGCGUGC
rnacentral:lncRNA from 1 species